rnacentral:rRNA from 1 species
GACGAACGCUGGCGGCGUGCCUAAUACAUGCAAGUCGAACGAGAGCGACCGGUGCUUGCACUGGUCAAUCUAGUGGCGAACGGGUGAGUAACACGUGGGUAACCUGCCCAUCAGUGGGGGAUAACAUUCGGAAACGGAUGCUAAACCCGCAUAGGUCUUCGAACCGCAUGGUUUGAAGAGGAAAAGAGGCGCAAGCGUAUGCUGAUGGAUGGACCCGCGGUGCAUUGGCUAGUUGGUGAGGUAACGGCUCACCAAGGUCGUGAUGCAUAGCCGAACUGAGGGGGUGAUAGGCCACAUUGGGACUGAGACACGGCCCAAGCGCCUACGGGAGGCAGCAGUAGGGAAUCUGCCGCAAUGGACGCAAGUCUGACGGAGCAACGCCGCGUGAGUGAAGAAGGUUUUCGGAUCGUAAAGCUCUGUUGUUAGAGAAGAACAAGUGCUAGAGUAACUGUUAGCGCCUUGACGGUAUCUAACCAGAAAGCCACGGCUAACUACGUG